AGGGCUGAUAUUGGACAUGUUCUCAGGGAGAAAGAAGAUUCGCAGGUACUGCUUAGAGGCAGAACCACAUGAAACCAAGUGGAAAAAUUGAAGAAAGAUAGCUAAACCUGUUAUUGUGGAAUGCAUUCAGGAUAGACACAAGAAGCCUAAAGUGCAGCUUGUUCAGAGACAUACCUAAGAUCCUUCUGGAAGUUCCAAUCUUACAAACUUCUUUAAGGAUAUACAAGAAGACAGGAGGGCAUUUAGCCUGGAUAACUGUUAUGUGGAUGUUCCACAUAACGUCACCAGCAGCAGUAGAAGCUAUGGAGACAGAGGGAAGCUCUAAACCCUCAACAAAAUUCUUCUACAUGCCUCCCUUUCUCGCAGAAUCACACAACUGCAGAGGUUGGAAGGGACCUCAAGAGAUCAUCGAGUCCAACCCGCCCUGCUAAAGCAGGUUCUUUGCAAUUGGUCACACAGUGAGGAAGCCAUCCUUGACAGAAAUAAAAGGAAUGAAGAACAGUCUGCACUUGAAAAGUGUGAAUAGAAUUCUCCCAGUGAUUAGCUUGAUCACUCACUUAACAAAACCAAUAUGGCUAGUAUUGUCCUGCAUCCAGAGGUGACCUUUUCAAUGCUUUAAAUAAUGGAAAAAUGAUUUAUGGUGAUGCAUCGCAUACUAUUACACUUUGACAAGAAUAAAUGAUGUUUUGAAAUUUUAUAAUGCAUCAGUUUGCCCAAGUAAUCCAUAGGUAUGGCACCUUUAUUUGAUAGGGGCCAACAUUUAUACACUUCCCUUCUAGAAGCAUUAUUUAGCAAUCAAUCUGAUUAAAAAUAAUAUUAAUGACAUAAAUGAACCAUUUAAUAAAUUAAAUAAAUGCUAAAAAAAAGUAAACAUGUAUAAGUUAAGUAUUUUACAUAUGAUUGGAAGCCAUUAUUUCAGUUGUGUAUUUCACUGUAAUAUAAUUUGAAUAAAUUAUACUAAAAUGCUGGAGUUUAUAAUACAACAUUUACUACUAUUUAGAAAUAGCAUAAAAAAAAGUAUAUUUUAUAUAACCAUGAAAAGAGAGUUUUCACUGCUUUUUGCCUUUAUUUUUUUAAAUCUAAGUAACAUUCUGGUUCUUCUUUCCCUACUUCUCAUCUUUCUACUUCCCCAGUUUUCUGUAUAACGGAACAUAAGACCUGCCACAGAACCCUAUGAAAACAAGAUUCAGUAGGAAAGCAUCCAACCUCAGCUAUGUUUAUCUUGAUUGAACUACAUAUAAUGUCAUCUACCUGCUUUGGUAGAGAGAUGACACCAUGUUCAGCUAACCAGCGUAGAGGAUUAUUUUAGGAUUCAUAAUGGUUAGAUAAAAAAUAUCUGUCAUGAAAUUGGCCUAAAAUAUUCUAUAUAUGGAGUAGAAGAAGAAUGCAUCUUCUGCCUUUCAAAUAUGAAUGACAAAGACUACAUUUCAAAGCCUUUAAUGAGUUGUAGUAGGAUGUAUAUUGUAGGACAUGUUAGUUCAGCUAUAAUGAAUGAACUUAAAAAUAAAAACUCUCAUCUUUUAAAUCUAAAUCUGAAUGAGAAGUGAUACCUGAUGAUUCCAAUAUUUACUUUGAAUGGUAAUAGCUUAUGUUAGUACCUUUUUUAUAAUAUUACACUAACAUGAAUGAAGCAUUAAUCUAGUUAAAGUUGUUCACCAUAUUUAAGAAAAAAAAAACUACUGUCAGCUGUGUAGAACAU